UUGUAAUACAUUAAAUGGCUUCUAUGUUGAGAUAUCAUCACAAUUGUCACAAAAAAAAUCCUUAACACAAGGCUUGACAUUCAAGAAAAGAUAAAGUUUUGUGGACUGUAUAAAAAAUUAAAUUUCCCUGUAUGGAUGGGAAACAUUGGUGAAUUAGCAGCUCUGACAGAGGAAUGAAUGUUAAAGUAACUGCUAAACUUGUUAGAAGUCACCUUACAUUUUUCUUCCAGGUCUUAUAAUUAGCCAGUGACAAUCCUUCAUCCAAGGCAUGAGAAGAAAAUCCAUAAAAAUCCAUUCUCUGCAAGUAGUUUGUUUUGUGCCACAGUACAAUUUCCUCAUUACAAAACACUCAGGCCACCUGCUACAGUCAAUGGUUGACUAUCUGUCCUACUGAAAGAGAGAAUGCUACCCAUACUUCCACCUUCCAAAUGAAUUUGAAAAGAUUUUGAUCAUCAUAAAGGUCCAGGGCAUAUACCCCUUCUGACUAACAUCACGCUAGUUAAAAAGCUGUCAUUGAACUAAAUAAAUUCUCACUUGUCUGAGGAAGAGCUUCUCAGCUGCCUUGGAUCAUCUGAAAAUCCAGUUUCAGCAGAGAACCAGACCCCAUGGGUGACUUUAGAAUAGCUUCUUGGCAAGAAUCUAAUCAGCCGGAGGCCUGUGGGUAUUGCAUUUUCUAUUCCAAAGAAAAAAUGAGGGCAAAGUUGUUUCUAAAUAGAUGAAUAUAAGAAAUAAUCUUACAGUUUCAUCGUGUUGUUUCAUGGUGAUGAAAUGAAAACAUAGUCUUUCAGUUUGAGAGCACCAGGAAGCUCUUGGGAAUCUGGAGACAUGCCAAUUGACUGGAAGCUGGCAAAUAUUGUCCUGAUCUUCAAGAAGGGCAACAGAGAUGACCCCAGUAACUGCAG